rnacentral:rRNA from 1 species
GACAGAGGAUGCAAGCGUUAUCCGGAAUGAUUGGGCGUAAAGCGUCUGUAGGUGGCUUUUUAAGUCUGCCGUCAAAUCCCAGGGCUUAACCCUGGACGGGCGGUGGAAACUACCAAGCUGGAGUACGGUAGGGGCAGGGGGAAUUUCCGGUGGAGCGGUGAAAUGCGUAGAGAUCGGAAAGAACACCAACGGCGAAAGCACUCUGCUGGGCCGACACUGACACUGAGAGACGAAAGCUAGGGGAGCGAAUGGG